UACGAAGGGGGCUAGCGUUGUUCGGAAUCACUGGGCGUAAAGCGCACGUAGGUGGACUUUCAAGUCAGGGGUGAAAUCCCGGGGCUCAACCUCGGAACUGCCUUUGAUACUGUUGGUCUUGAGUCCGGAAGAGGUGAGUGGAAUUCCUAGUGUAGAGGUGAAAUUCGUAGAUAUUAGGAAGAACACCAGUGGCGAAGGCGGCUCGCUGGCACGGUACUGACGCUGAGGUGCGAAAGCGUGGGGAGCAAACAGG
rnacentral:rRNA from 1 species